rnacentral:misc_RNA from 1 species
CAACCCUCAAGCUCUGCUUGGUGUUAGGGCCCUACAGCUAAUAUAGGCCCUCAAAGGUAGUGGCGGACCCUCCCGGAGCCUCCUUUGCGUAGUAACUUUACGUCUCGCACUGGGAUCCGGAGGGACUCUUGCCGUAAAACCCCCCAAUUUUCCAAA